CAAAAUAGUGUAAUUAUAACUCAUAUAUCCUUGAUAAUUGGGUCGAGGGUGUCUACGAGGCAACCGUAAUUGCUUCUCUAUGAGCCGGAAUGGUUUAUGG
rnacentral:ncRNA from 2 species